rnacentral:snRNA from 9 species
AUACCUACCUGGCGUCGGGAUACCGCGAUGCAGGCGGUUCCCCCUGGGCGAGGCUGCUCCAUUGCACGGCGGAGUGGUUGACCCUUGCGAUUAUUUUUAUAUUUUAUGUUUCACUUCUACCGUGUGUGCACACACACA